ACACGUAGGGGCCUGACGUUGUUCGGAAUCAUUGGGCGUAAAGGGCGCGCAGGCGGCCGUCCAAGUCCGGUGUUAAAUGGUCGGGCUCAACCCGAUCAUGCGCUGGAAACUGGGCGGCUUGAGUCCCGUAGGGGAUGCCGGAAAUCCAGGUGUAGGGGUGAAAUCUGUAGUUAUCAUGAACAACACCGAUGGCGAAGGCAGGCACCUGGGCGGAGACUGAAGCUGAAGCGAUAAGGCUCGGGGAGCGAACAGGUGUAGAUACCCUGGUAGUGCGCGCAGUAAUCGUGGCGUACCAGGUGUCGGGCGGCAGCGCCCGUUACCGGAGCUAACGCGAUGAGUGCUCCGCCUGGGGAGUAUGCCCGCAAGGGUGAAACUCAACUUAAUUGACGUGG
rnacentral:rRNA from 1 species